UUUGUAUGUGAUUCAUUUAAAUAACUUGUGUUAGCUAGGGUUGUUGAUGGUCUCAAAAUUGUUGAGAUAUCAUCAAUAAGCUAAUGGAUCUCAAUGGAUCCAAGACAAGUUAGUGGGAGCAACACGCAUUCAAAUCAAGAAAAUAUAAGUGUUAUUUUUGAAUGAAUGCUAAGUUACAACAAGGCCAGUGGGAGUGAUGUCAUAAUUUGAGCAACAAGAUAUGAAUAAAGUCUAUUUGAUAGACUUGAUGAAACAUAGAUGUUACUCGAAAAUGACAAAACAUGACACGGUCAAUUUUGAAGUAUAGACUUGAAAUUGGACUUACUGAUAUAGCAAGGCUAUCUCAAUAAUGUUAUAUGGGAAUUAAAUCUCAAAUGUUGAAGAUUUAAGAAAGCAUUUUCCUAUGUGAUAAGAAAUCACUUUCACAACCCUUAUAAUGAAUGUGUCAUAAAAUCACAAAAGGGACACAUGUGUUGACUUGUGAAGUAGAUAUCCAAAAGUGAAGAAACCACUGAGUUUAUCACUUUAAGAUAUUACUAUAUCCCAGGAUCAGAACCAAAGCAACUGAUAGAGUAUUAUUGCCUUUAAGAAAGAAACAUCAGAGUGGGACUCUGGAAGCGUGCAUUCACUUAGGUUGUUAACCAAAGUGAAAAUAAGCCAUUUUAACAAAUGGAACUUCAUGAUGGAUGAAGUACUAAUCAUAUGAAUGAAUUGUUAGUAUUGUACUACAAUGGUCUCAAGCUUGGAGCAAAGUUUGUAUAAAGUAUACAAACGAAAUAUAUGUCGAUAUAUAGUUUUAGAAACUGCUUCAAAAAGGUGUUUUGAAUGAAAGGGGUUCUUUUAGAACCCAUGAUUGAAUCCAAACCAUAAGGUCGUUAGUAGAGUACUACGACGUAAUGGGGCGAUAGCUCAAGCCAUGGAAUCAAGGUCUCAUCAAAGUAUUCGAACACAAUAAAGAGACAUCAUCUAAUGUUUUGGAAACAUUAGAUAAGUAAACCCCUUUUGAAUAAUAAAAGGGAUUAAUACAUAACCAAGUUAACCUACGAGCAUAAACUCUCUCAACAAGAUGUAUAAGAUACACUAGGGAUUGACUUUAGUGCAAGUGGGAGAUUGUUGGAAAUAUGCCCUGAAAGUCAAUCUUUGGAAGAAAUCUUUCAGGACAAAUAUAUGGAUGUAUGGAUGAAUCUUAUACAUCAAAUGGCAAAGACACGAAUUAGGACUAUCUCAAUAAACGAUAUAUGUCCUAAAUAGUGUAUCCAUGGACAAUGGAUCGAUUGAAGAAGUAAUCUAAUGAUGUUAGACUACAGAGACCUUCUUCACAUAACCAGAUGUCCAAAAAGGUUCCUGG
rnacentral:lncRNA from 1 species